rnacentral:rRNA from 1 species
CAGUAGCCGCGGGAAUACGUAGGGUGCAAGCGUUAAUCGGAAUUACUGGGCGUAAAGCGUGCGCAGGCGGUUUGUUAAGACAGAUGUGAAGUCCCCGGGCUCAACCUGGGAACUGCAUUUGUGACUGGCAGGUUAGAGUAUGGCAGAGGGGGGUGGAAUUCCGCGUGUAGCAGUGAAAUGCGUAGAUAUGCGGAGGAACACCGAUGGCGAAGGCAGCCCCCUGGGCCAAUACUGACGCUCAUGCACGAAAGCGUGGGGAGCAAACAGGAUUAGAUACCCGGGUAGUCCCUGUCUCUUAUAC